UGGGCGUGGACGCGGGGCACAGGCCCGGGACCUGGGGGUCCGCAGCAGCGAAGUCCAGCGGUGGUCGGGCGUGGUGGCGAGGUCCCUCCGCUGCUGAUGGCCGGGAGAGGCAAAUCCUUGGGAGAUGCAGGCUGCCGCAGCGAAGCAGAUAGCUCCUGGUAAAGCCUACCGCAGUAAUGGAGGAAACGUCCGGAAAGAUGAACCUUCUAACCCUAAGAAAGCAAAUGUGUUCUUCUCUUCCAAUGGUUGUAAUGAAGCCAGAUCGGCUUUUCUUGACGAUGGCUGGGAUUCCUUGGCACCACAUCAAAGAGCUGAGGACACGGAAGUGAGCAGUACUGACACAGUGGACUUCCUGGAGCCAUCUUGUCCUGGGAGCCUGGACGCCAGCAGAGAGUGCACUCACUCACAGUCCAGUGAGUUCGAAGACAGUGCCGACUGUGCUUUCUUGAAUGAAACAUACUCCAUACAUUUUUCCGAGUCAGAACGAAAGAAUGAAAGUCUCAUUCACUUAACUUCAGAAUUGGAUUCUGAAAUGCAGAACACAGAAGGGGUGUGUUUUGAUAUUUUGGAGCAUCAAGGUAUUAAGAUUAUUGGCUUGGAAAGAACCUGCAGGAUUUCAGAUGACGAUUAUAAAGAAACUGCCGAAGAUGAGCAGAAGCAUGAGAUCAACGAGGACUCCCAGCAGGAGUAUCAUAGUGCAGAGGAACAAGAACACAUAAGUGCCCCUGUAUCUUUUGACCAGACGAAAACAUUAAACACACCUGAUCUGGAGGUUGUUGGGUUAAGAAAUUCGGGUUAUGAAGCUGAGUGUGCUAGCCAUCUAGACGGUAAUCGUGUCGAGUUGGCAAGUGAUUCUAGCAUCUUUUUAGAUUCAGUUGAUGUUUAUGGACAAGAAGAUGCACCCCGUGGCUCCAAGUUUCAGAAUUCUGUUGUGUUAAGAGAAUAUCACGAACCAAAGCAUGGCAUGUGUAAGGAACGAGAGACUAGUUUAAUGUACCACACGGUAUUUGAUGAAAUUGUACUAGGGAGCAGUCCCCUUGAAAAUCGGGAAUCUCGAUCUAAGAGUAGUUUCUUGAACCCUCAGAGAGCACUAAAAGCUACAACCUAUAUCGGCAAAAUGAAAUGUCAAAUAAUCGAAAGUAAAGAUUUUUGUGGGAAUGAAAUCGUUGAGAACCAAAAGUUGCACCACCUUGGAAAUCCUAGCACAUUACGAGCAGACAGAGCUUUACAGGUGUUACUCCAACCCGGUCAAGAUUGUCAGACUUCCCGGACCUCUGCUGUUGAUGAUUCAGUAAUUUCUCCCUGUGGAUAUUCACAUUGUAGAAGCCUACAAAAUACCCCCAGCCCAGCCUUAGAUGUUUCCGUUACUACCCCGAGGAUUACAGCCAGAGAUCAUGAAGCAGUGGAUGAGAUCUCCCUAAAAGCUGCUGAUGACAGCACCACAAAUAACUCGUGUUUUCCCAGCAUAGAAGGAACACGUCCUGAGUUGGUGAUGGAUGCGGCAAGUGACAGAGUCACGGUUCAUCAGACGGUGGACGUUUGCGCUGACUUUAGGGCUUGUUUCACGACCAGCAGGGCAACGAGUGCGAGACCUUCUGUGGUAUCUACGUCAAGCAAUACAGACAUAACCAUGAUGAACCAAAGGCGGCCUGGGGAGUGGCAGGGUGAGAGACACAGAAGUGUGGCCUGUAAUACAGAUGGGCCGCACAGCCGAGGUCAUGAAGACCCGCCAGUGACGAUGAGCAGAGGACCCCUGGGGAACUCUCUCUCAGUUGACAGUUCAGAGCCUAAUGGAAAUCUCCUAAACAAGGAUUCCCUGGAAUUAAGAAAAACGUCUGCUAUCACAGACUUAAAGAAACGUCCUGAAAGGGAAUCUCCGCCUUGUGAAGAGGCGGGGAGGAGUUCGGCCUCCCGGUGCUGUGAGGACGCAAGGCGAAGAGCCGCGAGGGCAGAGCUGCACCUCCUGCACCUUCACUACCAGAUGUGUCAGCGCCACUGCAGUGACAUUUACAAGCUUGUCACGGAAAACAGGGCGGGAUUCAGCAGGAACCUAUGGAGUAAUUGUGCUAAGAAGCAAUUCGGAUCAGCACUACUGUCUGUUUGGGGAGACUUGAAGGUUAGGUACGAGAGCUUGAAGGACAGAAUACACAAGGGCAGGCCGCUGGAGGAGCUGCCCCCGCUGUCUGUGGAAUCGAAGCUACUAUCGACCUUUUCUACUUUGGCUUUCGCGCUAAUGAAAGAGGAAUCACACGUCUUUUCAGGAGCAGAUUCUGAACUAGAUAAUCAAAGUACAUGUGAUGUUGACGUCCCUUCACGCCUAAAGAAGACUCCGCCUCAAAUGUCCUUACUAUCUGACGAUAGUCCUCCUAAACAGGAUACUUUACCCAAGGAAGAUGGCUUAAAAAAUGGUGACAUAGAUAUAGACUUUAGUCAGCUGAAACUUGAUGAAAAAGGCUGCAAAAAUUACCGAGAAGUAAGUGAAGACUGGUUUGAUGCUAAAGAAAACCUGACAGGAGUUGACUUGUCAGGAAUACAAGAAAAUCAAAUAGAGAAGGACAAAGGGGAUCCAAAGUUUACACAAGAAAUGAAAAAUACUGAACUUUUACGAAAAGAGAAAGGUUAUUUGAUACAUGUCGGUGGUCUCUGCCCUUCAGUCUCUGAGGCUGACUUAAGGUCUCAUUUCCGGAAAUACCAAGUUUCUGAAAUUGCAAUCUGUGAUUCAACUAAUUACAGGUAUGCAUCCCUUGCUUUUAAAAAAAGCAUUGAUGCGAAGAUGGCCGUGAAAGAAAUGAAUGGGAUAGAAAUAAAUGGGAAAUCGGUAAAUGUGCGUCUUGUGAAAACUCCUGGAGAAUAUACAUCAUCUCUUUCCUACAAAAAUGGAAUGGAGAGAAGCACCAGCAAGGAAAUUAGCUCAGCCUCCUCUGUUUCGAGAUUGCCCAGAACUAGGCCAAGGCAGCUGGGAUCUGAGCAAGACAGUGAGGGUGUCAAGAAGAAUUGUAAACAGAUUGAAUCUCCUAAAUUAUUACCUGAUACUCCUAUUCGAUUCAUACCUCCAAAUACGUUGAAUCUGCGUAGCUUUACCAAAAUCAUGAAGAGACUGGCUGAACUACAUCCAGAAGUUAGCAGAGACCAUAUUAUAGAUGCUCUUCAGGAAGUAAGAGUAAAUCAUAAAGGUUUUCUGAAUGGCUUAUCUAUUAAUACUAUUGUGGAAAUGACUUCAUCUGUUUUGAAAAACUCUGAUUCCAGUUAGGAAUAAAAGAAGCAACAAGAGAAUGUCCUUGGAAAGCAGGAGUUCCCUCCUACAGAGAAUGUUCUACAACACUCAGGAAAACCACUGUGGUAGCGGCAAGACUGUGGGAUUAAAUAGGCUCAGUUUGAUGGCAUUUUCCACGUGCGAAUUAGCCUACCGGCGUAGUGUCUGUGUGGAAUACACAUGGAGGGGAAGGCUGACCAUCAAGCUACUGGAUUUCAAAAGUCUUGUCUUUUAAGGGAUUUGGGGUUUAUUCUGUACAGUAAUUUGUCUCCAGGUAUCAUCAGAUCAUCCCAAAUGUCUAGCAGGAAUUAGGUUUCAGAAUGUAAAAAAAAAAAAAAAAUUAAAAGGUUUCUUAAAUGAAACUUGAAUCAUUGCUUUUGGCCAUACAUAAAAUUAGUAGAACCUGAGAACUGUGGAGAUUUCUUCCCAUAUGUUAAAUCACGUGGUCACUUACAUUAAAAGGCUGCAUUCAAGAAUAAAAAAAAUCAAAUCAAAUCAAAGGCUGCAUUCAGAGUUAACAGCGCAUAAAGUUGAAACAUGGACCAGAUACUCUUUUCAACGUGCUGGUGACAAUAAGAAGCUUACCUCAGGUCAUUUGUUUCCAAAAUGAUUUGACGAAGCGGAGUCCCCUUCUAGAAUACAGAGCAAAUUACGACAUUUGGUUUGGGAAAAUAUAGAAAGGGUCGCUUGAUGUUACAAGUGUCAGGUGUUUUAAAUAAAGAUGUUCUGUUCAGAAACUAAAGGUAAAGCUCAGAUGACAUUCAUAGACCAAAAAGGCUUUCGGCCACGAUCACACGAUCACUGCUGCCAAUAAGCGUGUUGACUCACAUGGUCAUUUGUACUAAAAGGGCUGCUUCAGAUCAUGUGGGCGUCCUCUGCUCACAGUCACCUUUCGUUCCCACUGUAUUGUUGGAACAACAAGGAGCACUUGAGCCAUGUCAACUAGAAUAUGCAAAUAAUUUACGCUUGGAGAUCACCAGAGAUCUGGAAUGUUGUAAGACUGUCACCAAAACGUGGGACCAGAAAUUCCCGGUCGGCUCUGCCUGACACCGGUGUUAAUUCUCGUCCACGGAGAUAAUACGUGUAACUGAGAAACUGAGUAGAAUCAAGAGUUUCUUUUUAAAGGAAUAGUUCUCAGCCUGCGUUCUGUGUCUAUGAACUUACAGCUUUUUCACCGUAUCAUCGUUACUUAUUACAAAGUAUUUACCUGGCACGUAGAAUGUUUAAAGAGUGUUAGCUCCUGUGGUCAGCAGCGUAAUGACCCUCCACACCGUCCCGUCCUCACCCCCAAACAUGUGAAUGUGUCACUUGGCAAAGGGGAUUCCGGUUGCAGAAGUAAGAUUGCCACACAGCUGACCUUGAGACUGGAAGAUGAUGCUGGAUUAUCUGGGUGGGCAAAAGAGAAAACCAGAGACAGAGCCAUUUCUAGAAGCAUCCCUACCUGCUCUGGCUGGCUUUGAAGAUGGAAGAAGGGGGCUGGAGCCGAAGAAUGGGGGUGUGGCCUCUAGACAUUAGAAAAGGCGAGGAAACGGAUGGUCCCCUAGAGCUUCCAGAAGGAAUGUAGGCCUGCCGACGUCUUGAUUUCGGCCUCGUGAGACCUGUGUCCGACCUUGAUCUCCAGAAGCAUAAGGUAAUAAAUUUGUAUUGUUUAAAU